UUUUUUUCCUUUUUUUUUUUUCUGAUAGUGAGGAAUUUAGCAUUCAAAUUGCGAGAUAUUUAUGUUUUUGAGGUUAACAAUUGGUGCAACAAAGGUGUUUGAUGGUGGAAUGCUUCAAUCAAAUAAAAGAUUUACACAUUUCUACAACAUAUUCCUCUGUCAAUUAUGAAGAUUUUAGGAAACAACACUAUACAACUACUAUCUUGCUUUGGUGAUGAUGAGGGACAACCCCAGAAAAUUAUGCUAUUAACGUCCCAUUAUUUGAAUGAGCCAACCUAGCCAAAAUUCUGGUAAGAACAGAAUCGUCUAUGGCAGCAAUACGUGUACUUCAUACCAAAACAAGUGUACUUGAAGUGUUCUUCUUCUUUUGUUAAUCCCAAAUCCUAAUGUUGCUUGAAUUUCUUUUGCACCUUUUACUUCUACUUUAGCAUUUCUUGGAUUUCGGGUGUGUUGGAUACUCUUGCAUGUGUGUGUUUUUCGCCAGAAAUUCAUUUGAACACCUGAGAAAGUGAAGGGCAGAGAAAUGAACACGCCACAGAGAAAGUAAAGUCUCCAUCUUCAUUUUUUCCAUAUCUACAAUUGAAAACAGAAGAAAAUGAGGCCGAAAGAUUAUCGACCUUUGGUUUUGCUCGAUUUUAUCGGAGCCAUUAUUUUACUUCUGAAGUUCUCUUAGGCUU